rnacentral:rRNA from 1 species
AUGGCGAACAGAGCAAGGUGGGUGAUGAAGUUUGAAAAGGGGCUUAUUGAUAUACUACAUGAGAACAAUAAUUCACACUAUAGGACUCCAAACGGUUGGAGAAGCGAGGGAUGGAAGAAAAUUGUUAAGGACUUUAAUGAUAGGCACCCAGAUGCAGGGUUUACUAAAGUUCAAAUUCAGGAACAUGAGACUCAGCUGAAGAAAGACUAUAAAUUGAUAAAAUCCAUCCUUCAGCGUGAUGGUGUUUCAUGGGACCAGAAUGCUUCUAUGAUCAGAACAACAGAUGAAAUCUGGGAUGAGAUAAUCGAUGAGUCACCAAAAGCGCGGAAGUACCAAAGUAAGAGUUUUCCAUUGCUUCAGUCGCUGGAGAUGUUGCUUGAAAGGGAUAUUCCUGAAGGGGUUGGCAAUAUUGACGAGGAAGACAACAACACCAGCACACUGCGAAGCAUGUCUAGAAGACUUUCUGCACUGGUUCCUGGAAGCAUCGAUGAGGGUGAGAACAAUAUCAGCGCACUGCAAAGAACUCUGGAGCUAGGAUCACAAGGUCUGGAAGAUGUCGAUCUUCUGCAAAAUCACGAUGAAGAGGCAUUGGAAAGACCACAGCCUGGGGCAGACCCAAAGCCACAACAAAGAGCCGAUGAACCCGCGCAGUCAAGUUCUUGCAUAGAACCACAAAAGGACAAGCGCAAGAAGCGCAAGGCGUCUGACAUCCAACAGACCAUGGAGGCUUAUCUAGACUUCAGAAUGAAACAGGCUCGCACGAAAGAACAAACCAAAAAGGAUGGCGAGCAGUUCUCGAUUUCAAGGUGUAUCAAGGCUCUCCAAUCUAUGACCGAUGUGUCUGAUCAGGUCAGGGUUCUAGCUGCUGAUGUCUUCAAGGAUUCGGUGAACCGGGAGAUCUUUCUCUCGUAUGAGCUGAGGCUUCGCGCUCUGUGGCUGAAGAGGGAAGUCAACAGGUUACUCUGUUAA